UCCCUAGUGACUCAGAUGGUAAAGAAUCUGCCUGCAAUGCAGGAGGCCCAGGUUCAAUCCCUGGGUUGGGAA
rnacentral:tRNA from 1 species